GACGAACGCUGGCGGCGUGCUUAACACAUGCAAGUCGAACGAAGUGGCGCACGGGUGAGUAACGCGUAAUCAACCUGCCCUUCAGAGGGGGACAACAGCUGGAAACGACUGCUAAUACCGCAUACUGAAGGAGGGGAUUGCGUCUGAUUAGCUAGUUGGAGGGGUAACGGCCAACGAAGGCGAUGAUCAGUAGCGCGUCGGAGAGGAUGAACGGGCACAUUGGGACUGGUACACGGCCAAGGCUCCUACGUGAGGCAGCGGUGGGGAAGCUUCCGCGAUGGACGAAAGUCGGACGGAGCAACGCCGCGUUAGUGAUGACGGCCUUCGGGUUGUAGAGCUCUGUUAAUCGGGACGCGGUACCGGAAUAGAAAGCCACGGCUAACUACGUGCCAGCAGCCGCGGUAAUUC
rnacentral:rRNA from 1 species